CGUAAACGUACAGCAGGGGGCCAUGCCGUUGAAUACAGGACUCUUACAACUAGACCACUUAAAAGUGCGAAAUACUUACACAGAUAGGCCUACUCACUGCAAAUAGGUCGACGCUUGCAAAAUGCAUGGCUGAGGACGCGUUAGGGUAAAGUUGGAGGGUGUACUGGGGGGACGGUACAUAUGGAGAAAAGUAAGGAGAUGGAAGAGAUGCAGAGAGGCUAUCGAGGCGGGUGGGGAGACCUUGAUGGUAGACAUUCUGCUUGUGAACCCCUCAUCACUGCGUGCAGGGAGGGACAGGCUGAGGUGAUAGAGCAGCUGCUGAGAGCAGGAGCCGACGCCACACUGUGUACCCCCCAGGGUCGGACCGCUCUGCAUGCGUGUCCUCCUGACCUCCAGGGGGCACUGUUAGGGUGGAUGCUCCGGCCUCACCUGCCGC
ensembl:lncRNA